rnacentral:rRNA from 1 species
GGGCGAAGCUGAUCCAUCAUACCGCGUGAGUGAAGAAGGCCUUANGGUUGUAAAGCUCUUUCAGCAGGGAAAAUAAUGAUGGUACCUGCAGAAGAAGUUCCGGCUAACUCCGUGCCAGCAGCCGCGGUAAUACGGAGGGAACUAGCGUUGUUCGGAUUUACUGGGCGUAAAGGGCGCGUAGGCGGUUUAGUAAGUUAGAAGUGAAAGCCCGGGGCUUAAUCCCGGAACUGCUUCUAAAACUACUAGGCUAGAGUGCGGGAGAGGAUAAUGGAAUUCCUAGUGUAGAGGUGAAAUUCUUAGAUAUUAGGAGGAACACCGGUGGCGAAAGCGAUUAUCUGGAACGCAACUGACGCUGAGGCGCGAAAGCGUGGGGAGCAAACAGGAUUAGAUACCCUGGUAGUCCACGCUGUAAACGAUGAAUGCUAGAUAUCGGAUUUAUUCGGUGUCGAAGAUAACUUGAUAAGCAUUCCGCCUGGGGAGUACGGUCGCAAGAUUAAAACUCAAAGGAAUUGACGGGGGCUCGCACAAGCGGUGGAGUAUGUGGUUUAAUUCGAAGCAAC